rnacentral:tmRNA from 1 species
GGGGGCGAAUAUGGUUUCGACAUGAAUGUCAAAAUCUAAGGUUCAUGCCGAGGAAGUACCGUAACCUCGUUAAUAACAGUACAAAUGCCAAUAAUAACUGGCAACAAAAAAGCAAACCUCGUAGCGGCUAACGACAGCAACUUUGCUGCUGUUGCUAAAGCUGCCUAGUCUAGCUUAAUA